rnacentral:rRNA from 1 species
GUCUACGGCCAUGCUACCCUGAACACGCCCGAUCCCGUCUAAUCGUGGAAGCUAAGCAGGGUCGGGCCUAUUUAGUACUUGGAUGGAAGACCACCUAGGAAGAGCAGGUACUGUAGGCA